rnacentral:lncRNA from 10 species
CAAAGCUCCAAGACAGACCUGUAGCAGCAUGGCCCAAAAAGUUCCUCUGCUGCCCCAGUCCCAUACCUGCCUGAGGUACGGGGGUUCAGGCUGAGUCGGCUGACCUGGAGUCAUCUGGAAGCCUUGUCAGAAAUGCAGAUUCUGCAGUGCUGUUCCCAGAGGAUGAGAUUCAGCAGAACUGGGUGUUGGAUAUUAUAUGAAGAGAUUUGCAAGUGUUAUUUUACGUAAUUCGCACUUUACAAAGGAGGAAACUGCAGCGCAGGUACCAAGGUUGCCCCAUCUCGGUCCAGGCCUGCUCCCGGCGAGCCACUCGCCCUUGACCACGCCUCCUCUCUCCUGAUUGGCUGUCAGGCAUGAGUCGACAGAGAAAGAUGACCACUGCCCUCACCCCACUAAAGAAGCCCCAGCACUUAGCAAGCACUUAUGGCCC